AACUGGUUAUUAGAUUGGCGAAUGCGGGCGGGCAGGCUGGCGGGCGGGCGGAACAAGCUUGUCCGGGCCAUAACUAUGUCGUUCAUUGUCAGAUUUUAAAAUCAUUUGGCACAUUUGUUCACCAUCAUUGGACGGUGUGUCGCGCGAAAUAAUUAUGUCGAUAUCUCCAAGGUCAAGGUCACACUUUGAGUUCAAAGGUCAAAAAUGGCCAUAAAUGAGCUUGUCCGAGCCAUAACUAUGUCGUUCAUUGUCAGAUUUUAAAAUCAUUUGGCACAUUUGUUCACCAUCAUUAGACGGUGUGUCGCGCGAAAUAAUUACGUCGAUAUCUCCAAGGUCAAGGUCACACUUUGAGUUCAAAGGUCAAAAAUGGCCAUAAAUGAGCUUGUCCGAGCCAUAACUAUGUCGUUCAUCGUCAGAUUUUAAAAUCAUUUGGCACAUUUGUUCACCAUCAUUGGACGGUGUGUCGCGCGAAAUAAUUACGUCGAUAUCUCCAAGGUCAAGGUCACACUUUGAGUUCAAAGGUCAAAAAUGGCCAUAAAUGAGCUUGUCCUGGCCAUAACUAUGUCAUUCAUUGUGAGAUUUUAAAAUCAUUUCGCACAUUUAUUCACCAUCAUGGGACGGUGUGUCCCACAAAAGAAUCACGUCAAUAUCUCCAAUGUCAAGGUCGCCACGACUAAAAAUAGAUUUAAAAAAAAAAAAUAAUUACAAAGGGGGUUAAUUUUUUUUGGUCAUUUCAAAAGUUCAGUUUGAGUUUUCUCCCUUUAUCAGAUUUUUUUUUCACAAUGAAAACCUGGUUUUGUGACAAUUUUGUCCCUUGUUA